GCUUCUUUAGACCAGACGCAAAGCUACUGUUUUGGCUUCUUUUCGGUCAAUUUUAGUGGUAGAUGAAAUAUACAAAAAAAAGCGGAUUUCUGUCUUAAACGAUUCCAGCCCACACAGCUCCACCCUGAUGCUCCUGCAGCCAGUCCUCACGCACACGGAGCCGCCUCACUGGCCUGCCAGUUGCCGUGGUAACUUGACAUGUCUCCAUUUGCUGUGAUCAAUGGAAAUGUUGCCGUCUCAUGGGGAUUGGAGGGCUGCCAGCUCUCGGAGUGCAGCGUAACUCUCUCUCCCUCGCGCUCCGAGACGGGGAAGACACAAAGGAAGGAAUGGAGGCAGAGGGAAGCGGUGGGGUGGAGGAGCACGAAGCAUCCAUUACGGACAACCAUCUACAGAGAUCCAGGAGCAGCUCAGAGCACCGUGAAGAGAGAGCUGACGCACACAGACUUCAACCUGCACAUGUACAUUAUAACAGAUUGGAAUUCUUCACUGACCAGGCUCUCCACCUUGACGACACUCACAUAACAUGCAUCAAGUUCAUUUAGAGGAGAACCUCUGGGAAACGGCAUGACAAGGAGACCUCUAACUAUUACAGAUAAAUCCCAGAGUGUUUUGUAGAAAUUCUUUUUGUGAUUUACACCAAAAAAAGUUGUUUCUUUUGGGAAACUCUUUCUCAUUAUUAUGAUACAUAAAAUGUUGGACCUGCAGUAAAUUCUUCACAUGGACCUGUUGUCCAGUUGCUGUUCCACUAUAAGGUAUGUGAUGGAUUAUGAGAAAAUACUUUCCUUAAAGAGUCCAGAGCAGUCUAAUAUUCCUUUGGAAUACCUCACGGACGAUCCAGUUCACCUCACUUGUUAACACACAAAGAGAUGAAGUGAUUUAUAAGUGCUUCUUCAAAGUGCUUCCACCAUUU
rnacentral:lncRNA from 1 species